rnacentral:rRNA from 1 species
CUACGGGUGGCAGCAGUGAGGAAUAUUGCACAAUGGGGGGAACCCUGAUGCGGCAACGCCGCGUGGAGGAUGACGCAUUUCGGUGUGUAAACUCCUUUUAUAUGUCAAGAAAAUGACGGUAGCAUAUGAAUAAGCACCGGCUAACUCCGUGCCAGCAGCCGCGGUAAUACGGAGGGUGCAAGCGUUACUCGGAAUCACUGGGCGUAAAGGACGCGUAGGCGGGUUGGAAAGUCAGGUGUGAAAUCCUACAGCUUAACUGUAGAACUGCACUUGAAACUUCUAAUCUAGAGUAUGGGAGGGGGAGAUGGAAUUCGUGGUGUAGGGGUAAAAUCCGUAGAUAUCACUAGGAAUACCUAAAGCGAAGGCGAUCUCCUGGAACAUUACUGACGCUAAGGCGUGAAAGCGUGGGGAGCAAACAGGAUUAGAUACCCUCGUAGUC